CAUACAGCCCAGGGGAGGGAUGGAGCUGAGAUGGACAGGGAGGGAGACACCGGCUUACGACGUCAAAGGAGUACAGACACACACACACACACACUCACACUCACACACGCACACACACGCAGGCAGAGGGAAGGGAAAGGAGAGGAGAGGAGAGGACAGCCAACCAGACUGCCAAUUCCCUCCGGUCUACUGAAGGAAGCCUGAAUAUUCCUCUGUCACAACACUCUAUUUAACCAGUAAGAGAUUUGUUUAUUUUAUUUUUUUUUUAUAGCAGAUUUAUUUGAAGAGGAGAGAGCGAGAGAGAGAAAAAAAAUCGGAGCAUCUGUCAGGGAAAAAAGCACGGAGGAAAAAAAAAAAAAAAACAAGAAGCAGAUCUAGAGAAAAAAGCCCGCUCAUGCCGAAUAAAAGGACCGUCGCUGGAUGAGACUUGUGUUGUUUUAGGGGGCGUGCAGGCCUGAACUUGUUACAGGAAUCAAAGACAAAUGAACUGACUGACUGAGCUUUAAUAAGUAGAAGAAGAAGGAGAAGAAGAGAGGAAAAAAAAAAGCGAAGGGGAAGAAGAAAGGCAAUCAUCUGAUCACGCCGAUUCUCUGCCACGACCAGCACCACAGACUUCUCAAUGAAGGAGCCUGACGCAAUCAAGCUCUUCAUCGGGCAGAUACCCCGAAACCUGGAGGAGAAGGAUCUGAAGCCCAUCUUUGAGCAGUUUGGCAAGAUCUAUGAGCUGACAGUGAUAAAGGACAAAUACACGGGGAUGCACAAAGGAUGUGCCUUCCUGACAUACUGUGCACGUGAGUCUGCCCUCAAAGCCCAGAACGCGCUGCACGAGCAGAAGACACUACCAGGGAUGAACCGCCCAAUCCAGGUGAAGCCGGCAGACAGCGAGAGCAGAGGGGAAGACAGGAAGCUGUUUGUGGGCAUGCUGGGGAAGCAGCAGACGGACGCCGAUGUGAGGAAAAUGUUUGAGCCGUUCGGGAGCAUAGAGGAGUGCACGGUCCUCCGUGGGCCCGAUGGCACCAGCAAAGGGUGUGCAUUUGUAAAGUUCCAGAGCAACGCAGAGGCCCAGGCUGCCAUUAACACCCUGCACGGGAGCCGUACUUUACCUGGCGCCUCGUCCAGCCUGGUGGUGAAGUUCGCCGAUUCCGAGAAGGAGCGAGGACUGAGGCGGAUGCAGCAGGUGGCCUCUCAGCUGGGGGUCAUCAGUCCCAUGACCCUGCACCUCGGGGCCUACAACGCCUACACGCAGGCCUUGAUGCAGCAGCAGGCCUUGGUGGCGCAGUCGGCCUACCUCUCUCCCGUUGCCACGGUGGCGGCCGUUCAGAUGCAGCAGCUCGCCGCCCUCAACCCCAGCAGCAUCAUUGCCACACCGAUUGCAUCCAUCACCCCGUCCUCAGGUACCAGCACUCCACCCUCCAUCGCAGCCACACCUGUUCCUGCUCUGCCUCCGCCCAUCGCGGUGAACAGCUACCCCUCCGUGCCAGCUCCACCCAACGGCCAGUCAGCCACAGAGACCCUGUACACCAACGGGGUUCACGCCUAUCAAGCUCAGAGUCCCGUCCUGGACCCCCUGCAGCAGGCCUACACAGGCAUGCAGCACUAUACAGCCACCUACCCUGCUGCCUACGGCCUGGUGGGACAGCCGUUCCCCCACCAGCCCACGCUGGUGGCUCAGCAGCCGCAGCAGCCUCAGCAGCUGCAGCAGCGAGAAGGUCCCGAGGGCUGUAACAUCUUCAUCUACCACCUGCCGCAGGAGUUCACCGACUCCGAGAUCCUGCAGAUGUUCCUGCCCUUCGGGAACGUCAUUUCCGCAAAGGUCUUUGUUGACCGUGCCACCAACCAGAGCAAAUGCUUUGGGUUUGUGAGCUUCGACAACCCAUCCAGCGCCCAGACUGCCAUCCAGGCCAUGAACGGCUUCCAGAUCGGCAUGAAGAGACUGAAGGUGCAGCUGAAGAGGCCCAAGGACGCCAACCGGCCUUACUGAGGGAGACUGUCCCGUCCAUACAUAAAUCGUGGAGACGUGCGUCGCUAUGGCGCAACCGCUAAAACCUCCCCCCUUCCUUCUCACAGCGUUGAAAACCUAAGAGUUGAAUCAAGAAUACCACUUGGGAUGUCCCAGCCUUUUUUGGUUGUUUGACCAACCGUAUAGCACAGGAGCAACACUUCACAAAAAGCAGUAACCACAUAUGUAUGCGCUUACAAGAACAACAACGACCGCAGCAAUCUCAGCAAACGACAAACGCAAACGACUGAAUCAGCCAUUCUCAGAAGUGCUCCAGAGUUCCUUAUCAUUCCACAGCUGGAUCCAUUUAUAUUAUGUACAUACUCUAUUGUUGGAAAACAAGAUAUACAUGUUAAGAAAACGCAUAUCACUGAUGUUAUUCUACUGAACAGGGUUCUACUGUAUAGUGUGAUUUGUGGUCUAUGGCGUCAACAGAGGGCCUGCCUAAGCAGUCGAUGGCAAAAGAAAAUACUAUUCUGUAUGAUUACCAUUGGUAAUAUUGUUAUGUAGAGUUAGUUUUAUUAUUUAUACAAAAUGUAAAAAAAAAAAAAAAAAAAAAACAUGGGGUGAUUACACUGAAAGAGAAGUCCAUUCCCUCUCUCUGUACAUACCUUGGUUUGGAAAAUGAAGGACUUAAAAACUUUGUGAGUCGAGAUUCUCUGCUGCCACUACUUUUGAAAAAUAAAGCGGAAGGAAGGGCUGGGAAUUUUUCUAUCUUGGUUUUUUACGUUUAAUUUAUUUGGUAAUAAAUUUGAUGGUGGGGAAGAUGUGACAAUUUCUUUUUUAUUUUAAGUGAAUAAAAAA